UACAGAGGUCUCAAGCGUUGUUCGGAUUCAUUGGGCGUAAAGGGUGCGUAGGCGGCGCGGUAAGUCGGGUGUGAAAUCUUGGAGCUUAACUCCGAAACUGCAUUCGAUACUGCCGUGCUUGAGGACUGGAGAGGAGACUGGAAUUUACGGUGUAGCGGUGAAAUGCGUAGAUAUCGUAAGGAAGACCAGUGGCGAAGGCGGGUCUCUGAACAGUUCCUGACGCUGAGGCACGAAGGCCAGGGGAGCAAACGGG
rnacentral:rRNA from 1 species